UGUAUGUAUGCAUGACUAAGUUGCUUUGGAUAAAAGUGUCUGCUAAAUGGCAUAUA
rfam:Salmo salar isolate Sally breed double haploid chromosome ssa03, whole genome shotgun sequence.